rnacentral:rRNA from 1 species
UACGUAGGGUGCAAGCGUUAAUCGGAAUUACUGGGCGUAAAGCGUGCGCAGGCGGUUUUGUAAGUCUGAUGUGAAAUCCCCGGGCUCAACCUGGGGAAUGGCAGUGGAUACUGGCAAGCUAGAGUGCGGUAGAGGGUAGUGGAAUUCCCGGUGUAGCGGUGAAAUGCGUAGAGAUCGGGAGGAACACCAGUGGCGAAGGCGGCUACCUGGACCAGCACUGACACUGAGGCACGGAAAAGCGUGGGGGA